CAUUGCAAAUGGCACAGGAAUCAACAGGAACUUUCCCUACUUUUACACCUCUGUACCACAGGACACACAGCCCUUAAUGAGAGAAAGAAAUUCGAGUGUUUUCAUCUCAAUAGCUCUGCACCCAUCUUUUAGGAAAAUGUCCUCCCCACAAAGGUACAAGCUGCUCAGUAGUGCUGCAAACUGCUCCAGCUGAAUCUGCUCCAAUGCACAGAAAACAGGAAACUUUAUUUUUACAGAGGAGAGCAAAGAUAAAUACAGUUUUCCCUCCCUUUCCUUUGUGAGUAUGAAGCUUAUCAUAGGAUCAGAGGAAAUAUUAAAAGAAUACUAUUGUCCCAGCAUUUGCUGUGUAUU